AAGAGCCGCGGUAUACUGACCGUGCAAAGGUAGCAUAAUCAUUAGAGGUUUAAUUGGAAUCUGGUAUGAAGGGCUGGACAAAGGAAAGGCUGUUUCUGUAGUAUACAUUGAAAUUUACUUUUAAGUGAAAAGGCUUAAAUAUAUCGAAGGGACGAUAAGACCCUAUAAAGCUUUAUAGAUUAUUUAAAUUUGGCUGAUUUGAGGAGUAAAAGCGAAGUUUAUUUAUUUUAUUUUAUUGGGGUGAUAGGAAUAUAAUUUUUAUUAACUGUUCUAAGAAGAUACUGUAAUUAGAGAGUUAGAUAAAUGAUCCUUUUUAAAGAUUAAAAGACUAAGUUACUUUAGGGAUAACAGCGUUAUUUCUUUUGAGAGUUCAUAUCGAAAAAGAAAAUUGCGACCUCGAUGUUGAAUUAAAAUGUCUAUAUAAUGCAGCAGUUAUAAAAGAAGGUCUGUUCGACCUUUAAAAUUUU
rnacentral:rRNA from 1 species